GGGUAAUUUGCAUUCGUACUUCUUUUGUUAUUGAAAUUAAUACAAUCAACAUGACAUCAGUAAAAUAUGCCGACGAAGUCUCAUGGCUAGUAAUACAUGAAAAACGUGCUUGCAAACUUAAACAAAUUUUAAUAUAUUUUUUAUAAAAAAAAGAACAAAUAACGCGCGUGAUAAUCGAGAAUAUACAUACACAGUGAUGUGACUGCCUUAUCGGAUUAAAUAUUGUUAAAAUAUUCUUCGAAAAUAUAUGUACAUGUGUCCAGUAGUGAGUUACUGACGAAAGGUCGAUAAUUUCGUAAUCUAAACUGUGAGCACUUAAGCCCACUUGUUGUCGGUUGUUCCGCUUAAGCGUUGAUACUGUUUUGUCGUGAUAUUUAACAAUUACAUUCGUGGUUGGGUUUGAAUAUUAAGUUGAUCUAAUUGCAUUUUAGAUACACGUCGCGCACAUGUUGCAAUGAUAAAAGUUUUCAUCACGAGCGUCUCUUUUUCUAUUUUUCAAUUGCCUCGAGGGGGAAUCGCUCCCUUCGCUUUAAAGUUCUUCAGUGCGGUCGUAAAUUUCCGUGCAAGUAAAAAAAGAAAAAUGCACAUAUGUCUGACGAAAGAAAGAGACAGGGAGAGACAGAGAAAGGGAGGAAGAGAAGGGGGGAGAGAGAGAGAGAGAGAGAGAGAGAGAGAGAGAGAGAGAGAGAGAGAAAGAGAGAGGGAGGGAGGGAGAGAGAGAGAGAGUAAGAAAGAGAGAAACAUACGAGGGGGGACAAAAAGGACAGAGACGGAGACACAGACAGAGAUAAACAGUUAGAUAGAAGAGCCAAACGACAAAAGUGACGAGGAAAGUGCGAGUAUCGUCCUCCGGAGCAUCGCGCUGUCUCGCGGCGACACUAACCUCUGUCGUUGUUGCGCGCUCCGGUCGCUCGCUCGCUCACGCUCGCUCAUUCGUUCAUUCGUCUGUGCGUCCGUCCGUCCUUCGCAGCGAGAUCUGUCAUCAAUCAGAGACCGAGGAGGCGCGUUCCCUCGGCCGGCCGUUCGAUUGCACGGAAUGCUGCCCUCGCCGCCGCCGUCGUCGCCGUCGCCGUGUUACGCUAAAAAUAUGCGGCAGUGAGGCAACCCGCGAACGGCGGCGGAGCACCGUGUCCGUGGCAGCGAAGCGGCUCUCGGCUGCGUGCUAGGUCGCAUCCGGAGCCGGUACCGUAUUAAGAGAAAGAGGAGGAACAGUAGGAGAAAGAGGAGAUCGAGGGAGAAGAAGAAAGGAGGAGCCCGCUCGCCGACGAGGACGACGCUGACGACGACGACGACGACGACGACGACGGCGGCGAAGGGGUAAUCGUCUUCCCCGUAGAUCGAGACCACCGUUGAAAGGACCCACCGAGGAAAAUGGCGGACCUCGAGGCGGUGUUGGCCGACGUCAGCUACCUGAUGGCCAUGGAGAAGAGCAAGUGCACGCCGGCCGCCCGCGCCAGCAAGAAGAUCAUCCUGCCGGAUCCUAGCGUGCGGAGCGUGAUGCACAAGUAUCUGGAGAAGAAGAACGAAGUGAACUUCGACAAAAUAUUUAAUCAAAUGUUAGGUUACCUUUUAUUCAAAGACUUCUGCGAGACUGUAGCGGAGGAACCGAAUCCGCAACUUAGGUUUUACGAAGAGAUCAAAGCGUACGAGAAGCUCGAAUGUCCGGAGGACAGGAGAAAACUCGCCAGGGAGAUCUACGACAAUUACAUUAUGAAGGAGUUGCUGGCGCAUUCUCACGAGUAUUCGCAGGAGGCGGUGUCACACGUGCACAAGUAUCUCAUGAAGAAUGAAGUACCAGUCAACUUGUUCGAGCCGUAUAUCGAGGAGAUUUUCAAUCACCUGCGGGGGGAGCCGUUUAAAAAGUUUUUGGAAAGCGAUAAGUAUACCCGAUUUUGCCAAUGGAAGAAUCUAGAGCUAAAUAUCCAGCUGACGAUGAGCGACUUCAGCGUGCAUCGGAUAAUCGGGAGGGGCGGCUUCGGCGAAGUGUACGGUUGCCGGAAAGCGGACACCGGCAAGAUGUACGCCAUGAAAUGCUUGGAUAAAAAACGCAUUAAGAUGAAGCAGGGCGAAACGUUAGCGCUCAACGAAAGGAUAAUGCUCUCGCUAGUCAGCACCGGGAUCCAUCGUCAUCCGCAGAUGGACUGUCCGUUCAUAGUAUGUAUGACGUACGCAUUUCACACGGCCGAUAAGCUGUGCUUCAUACUGGACCUGAUGAACGGCGGCGACCUGCACUACCACCUGAGCCAACACGGUGUCUUUAAUGAGCCGGAAAUGAAGUUCUACGCCGCGGAGGUGAUACUGGGCUUGGAACACAUGCAUCGCAGGUACAUCGUUUAUCGCGAUCUCAAGCCGGCGAACAUACUGCUGGACGAGCAUGGCCACGUGAGGAUAUCGGAUCUAGGAUUGGCAUGCGACUUCUCCAAAAAGAAACCGCAUGCGAGCGUCGGCACGCACGGAUACAUGGCACCGGAGGUACUCUCGAAGGGUACCGCGUACGACUCGAGCGCAGACUGGUUUUCAUUCGGCUGUAUGCUGUACAAGCUACUGAAAGGACACAGCCCAUUCAGACAACACAAGACCAAGGACAAGCACGAGAUAGACCGUAUGACGUUAACCAUGAACGUGGAGCUGCCGGAGACGUUCUCGCGGGAGUUACGGUCACUGUUAGAAGGUCUGCUUCAACGAGACAUCAACAAUCGGCUCGGCUGCCGUGGAAACGGCGCGGAUGAGCUUAAGGAACACCCGUUUUUCAGCGGUAUCGAUUGGCAGCAGGUGUAUCUUCAGAAGUACACGCCGCCCUUAAUACCGCCGCGCGGCGAGGUCAACGCCGCGGAUGCCUUCGACAUCGGCUCUUUCGACGAGGAGGACACGAAAGGUAUCAAGUUGACCGACGCGGAUCAGGAUCUAUACAAAAACUUUGCUCUAGUCAUCUCAGAGAGAUGGCAGGCUGAAGUAGCCGAGACUGUGUUUGAGACAAUCAAUAACGAGGCGGACAAGCUGGAAAAUAAGAAGAAGGCGAAGCAGAAGCAACACUUUGACGCAGAUGAAAAGGGCUCGGAUUGUAUAUUACACGGCUACAUAAGGAAAUUGGGAGGCCCGUUUGCGAGCACAUGGCAGACACGCUACGCGAAACUCUACCCGAAUCGGUUAGAGUUACAUCCAGAGUCCGCAACUAAGCCCGAGCUCGUGUUUCUUGAUCAGGUCGAGGAGGUUGGGGCGGAUCUGCAGCACGUGAAAGGGGAACAGUGCAUCGUAGUACGUACGAGAGACGCGAAGAUCGUACUUACAAAUGCUGACGAGAUAAGCUUGAAAGAAUGGGCGCUCUCGUUGAGAUCGGCGCACAAAUGCUCAAUGGAGAUGCUCGGCAAUAUGGCAAGGAAAGCGGGCAAGAUCUACGGGACUGAGCGGGACGCCUUGAUCCCGGCGACGCAGCGAUCCACGAACGGCAACUAGCCCAUUGUCGCUGUCAAGUGCGACGCACCGUCAUACUCCACCAGUCCCACUGCCCCGCAGCAGCAGCAGCAGCAGCAACUUUUUUUAUACUAAACGGGUAACGGAGAGCGCGCAGCGGAGACGACAAGAAGAAGAGAAGCAUUAAGAAAGGCGUCUCCUAUGAGUAACGGCGACGGCACACGGUAGUGCCACGCGCAUCUUCCUCCCACGGAGGAAGUAGCUCUCGCCUCUCGACUCGCCGCUCACGACGUAAGCGGAUGACGAUGAUCCCUCUCUCUCUUGGCACAAACUCAGAAACGCGCGAAACGUCCCGCGGAAGUCCCGUUGUGUGUACGGCGGAUAGCGCUGCGCUGUAUCAUAGAGACUUUAGCCAAGUAGUGUAUCGUACAUCGCGCGUACGUACGUUCCCAGGGCCACAAGCAGGUAGGCGCGCGCGAGCGAGCAAGCGCGCGCCCACACGAACACACACACACACACACAGAUAUAUACAACACACGCAUACACAGAGAGAGAGAGAGAGACACACACACAUCUAAUCCGCGGCUCUUCUGGUCACUGGCGCGACUCGCGCGUAGGCAUCGUUAUAUUUGUACGUUAGUUGUAUGUGCAAUGUGACGUAGUGACUAGCAGCGACCGAGCCCCAAGAGAAAGCCUGACGACGCCGACGUCAUCGGGUGAUGAACAAAAAUUCAAUCGGCACGGAGAACACGAGACACCCCCGAUAGCGUAUUAUUCCGACGAAGUACUAGUACCACGCGGAUCCCCGUACUCUUAUUACUUCUACGCGUCGUGUACAUUCGUUUGCCAAACGGUUUGGACACUUUUUUGUACAUAUUUCAAAGUGCACCCGACAUCCAGUUGAAGAAUCUGUCUUGAGAAAGUUGCUAGAGAACAAUUCCUCCCACUGAAAGUCGCCUACGUGCUGAAGUGCGUCGAAGAAGAUGCAUUCAAACCAUUUCGCAAAUGAGUGUACGCUUGUCUGCACAACGCUUGGCUGCACACAUUUUAUUCCAAUGAAACUUGGAGCGCAUCAUACGGUUAUGAAUCAUUGCUUACGGGCUUGCAUAGUAAUCGGUUAUAAAACUCGAAUAAUAGUAGAUAAUAUAAAUAGCGGUCAAUUUAUUACGCCUGAUGGUUAAAAAUAUGACAGAAAUAUAUUUUCCUGAAUCCUCCGGUGCAGUUGUCACUGCAAGUUGAAUGUUGUUGAAUGUCUUGUAUGCUAUCACUUUGGCUUCUGUCAUACACAUGCAAGCCCACGAGUAACGCAAUCCUGACCAUUUGAUGCGUUCCCUUUAUCGUAGAAAGUGUGCACGCACCUCAUUGUGCAGACGAGUGUACCGCUUUUGUUUACUUAAUUUAUUUACUAAUGCAGACACACAUACAUACGGACACACCGGUUUUAUAUUAUCCCUGCGAUAACAAAAGUGAUCCAUUAUUUAUUAUGUUGUUAAGUGCGAGAAUGAAAGGGAGUGAAAGGGAGAGAGAGAAAGGAAGAAAGUACGAACCAGAGAACUCGUUUGUAUAUUAGCCAAAAAAGAAAAAGAAAAGUGGAUCGAGUACCGACGCCAACGUGUGUACGCUCGAGUGGAUGUGGACGCGAAUCCGCUCUGGCAAUAAAAUGUGCGAUGAACGUAGAUUGAAGAGCUUUCUUUCGUCCUGCAUCUCGUGUUGUCAAUAGAUCGACGCUAAGGGCGAAGCUUCGAAGUCCGCUCUCUCGAGCCACGUCGGCGGAUCGCUUACCUUCGACGGAAGAGGACACAGCAGCCUCUCGACGGCGGCGCAUAACCCGCACCACUCCCUGAAGUUCAACGACUCCGUUAUCUCUCCUAUCACGGUCCUCAGAUAAGACCGCUGCUCGUCCGUCAGCGCCUUCCCGACCACUUCCUGAAGAGCCUCUUCGACAUCGUUCGGCGAGAUACGUCGUUCUCCUUGCGACGUCUCCUCGUUGAAUUUAGCGAAUAUCCGGCCGAAUAUCAGCUUCCUACCCGACGUGACGCACACGUGCUUGCUGAGGUACCGCAAAGGCGUUAAUCCUGCAACGAUCGUAGCUCCUGACAGCGCUUGAUCUUUCAAUGAUCUUCCGAUAAAGCGAUAAGCGAAUUGUUCAGUACAAGUAAGAAGGGAUUCAUCUGUCAAGACGAUAGACUUUUGCUCGCCUUGAUUGAGAAUUCUACUCUAUCCCUUAUUGUAAGUGCUUCCGAAUAAUGAAAAAAAAAACAUGACUGAAAAUAUUCAUACGCACCACGAAGACUCUGACUGUCGAGUAACUCGAAACGCGCCGCUUGACGGGAGAAUAUUCGGGGUGCGUUUUGCGCUGACAGACCAGUAUUGGCCAGGCGAGAUACACGCGAGUAGGAAACAUCGCCUUUCACUCGUAGCGCUUCUUCUAGGGCGAUCCGUCUCUAAGACAGUUGAAUUAUUUCGCGCUAGAGGAGAAGGCAAGAGCUUGUCCGCAAAGAUGUUACAUUCGUUGUACUCACUUUGAUCGAAAAUUCCGCCUCUACCUUGUCGCGAUCCAGUUCCCUCCACAAGUGCUUCAAAAUGUCAGGUGCCAGGAAACUCGAAGGCAUCGUGUAAGUCGCUGCUGGCGCGGGUGUCUUCUUGGGAGACGCCACACCAUCAGCUUCGGCUGUAUUUGUUGUAUGAACCCUAUUGCGUUUUUGUCAAAAAACUUUUCUCGUAAUCAAUGGACUUUUCAUUCGAUAUGAACAGAAAUGUGCACGGCGCCAGUGAAAAGUAUUGUAACCGCUUGGAAACUUAUUUGUGGAAAAAUCUCAUUUGUACACUGAGAAAAAAAAUAUCCAAAAAAUAAAGAAAUAUUUAUUUGAUGGGUACUAAUAACA